GGAUGAGCUUUCCGGUGAGCAGGUGAAGGUGAUCCACACCCACCACAAAAGACCAUGACCUGGCACUAGCGGCUCGGUGGUCCAAGUCCCGUCCUCCAGGAUUUCUCCCUGGUCCUGGGCUCCUGGCCAUGCCCGCAUCCUGUUCGACGGAAUGCCGCGUCGGAAAACCCAGUUGGUUCAUCAAGGGAUGUCUGCUGGGAGGCGAGCAGCGGACGGCGGCGCGUUACCUGACAACUCCAUCUGUGCAUCUCUGGUCCAGGAUCUGUGUUCAAUGCUCCGAUGGGACCGCAAGUGAUCUCCUUGAGUUCCACGAUCUUCUUCAACUGAGAGUUCUUGGCCUCUUCGCUCAUGCUGAAGUCAAGGUAUUAGCAUAAUUAAUUUGUUCAGUUAUAUUGAUUGUGCGGUGCUGAUGGCUGUCUCAUACUGCAAAUUAUAUGUCUUUAUUAGUACAACUUAUGUUUCUUGCAUUGGUUAGAGAUAUUAACUUCUGAGUUCUGACCACGUCCAUGUUUUCUAUGCUGUAUGCCAUUUGGUCAUACGUCCUCAUCUUGUACAAGCUUGGCUAUCUAUGGUACAUUUAUAAAAAUAUUAAUUUUUUAACCAGAAAUAAAGUACUAGAAUUCACUUCACUUUUAUUUCGCUACAGUGCAUAUGUUAAGAGGUCUCUGUUCCAUCAUGUAUUGAUUCUAUCCGCAGACAGUAUUACUUAUUUGCUCGAGUUCUUUGUACUUGUGUCGGAAAGAUAUCAAUAGAUUUUAUCACCCACGAAAGUACUGGUUGCUGGAUUAAUUCAAGCUUUCUGGUCAAAGAUUUAAACAGUUUCCUCAUUCUUUCUUUCUUUUUUAUAUAGCUGUCAUUACAGCUCUGUCCUCAUAAAGGCCGUUGCCCAUUUUGAGGAAGAUGCCUACUUAAGUGCUAGCAUUGGACUCACAAUCCAUAGCGGAUGGUGAGAUGGCAGAGAUGCACUGACCUUAUAAAUGUUGAGGUGAAUUUUAGUUCAGUGGAAGGCCUUAUAAUUUGCUGAAUUUUUAAGUGAUACAAAGAUAUCGAUUUUAUGGUACCACAAAAUGUAAGAUAAUAGGUUUCCUAAGACUGGAGACAUGGUUGCACUAUCAGAAGUUUCAAAAAUGCUGAUGGACUAUUGUUUGAAGCUA